rnacentral:lncRNA from 1 species
GCAAACCACCGCGUGCGAAAUGGCCCCGCUGGUGUUCUUUAUUUUUUUUUCUUUUACCUUAAUUCGAAUAGAAAAUUUCAAUCGGUAAGGCCAUUUCUUCUUUGUAGUCACUGGUUGGUGUUAUAUUAUAUUGUAAAUAAUAAUUAGCGAUCGAGUGCACGUUCAAAAUUAUUUAAAUAAGGGAUGGAUGUCCCCUGGUUCAAGGAUA